rnacentral:rRNA from 1 species
AACGAACGCUGGCGGCAUGCCUAACACAUGCAAGUCGAACGAGACCUUCGGGUCUAGUGGCGCACGGGUGCGUAACGCGUGGGAACCUGCCCUGAGGUUCGGAAUAACGCCCCGAAAGGGGUGCGAAUACCGGAUAAUGUCCUCGGACCAAAGAUUUAUCGCCUUUGGAUGGGCCCGCGUUGGCUUCGCUAGUUAGUAGGCUAAACGCCUACCAAGGCGACGAGCCAUAGCUGGUCUGAGAGGCUGAUCCGCCACACUGGGACUGAGACACGGCCCAGACUCCUACGCGAGGCAGCAGUGGGGAAUAUUGGCCAAUGGGCGAAAGCCUGAUCCAGCACUGCCGCGUGAGUGAUGAAGGCCUUAGGGUUGUAAAGCUCUUUUACCCGGGAUGAUAAUGACAGUACCGGGAGAAUAAGCUCCGGCUAACUCCGUG